UCGUAGAUGUCAACCGAGUA
rnacentral:siRNA from 1 species